rnacentral:rRNA from 1 species
UUAAGAGCAUAUGGUGGAUGCCUAGGCUUCUGUGAGGCGAUGAAGGACGUAGUAUAGCUGCGAUAAGUUUCGGGGAGGUGCUGAGCAACCUUUGAUCCGGAAAUUUCCGAAUGGGGAAACCCUCUCAACUUCGUGUUGAGAACUUGGCCGUAAGGUCAUGUGCGCACCUUGGGAAGUAAAACAUUUCAGUACCAAGAGGAAGAGAAAACAAUCUCGCGCAAGCGAGAACAUUUCGUAAGUAGCGGCGAGCGAAAGCGGAAGAGCCCAAACUCAGUCUUAAUCGUGGGGUAUAUAGCAAUAUGUACAACGCGAUUAAGACUGGGGGUUGUAAGGUGGUGAUGUCACUAUUUAUAGUGAGGAGAGUUAAAAAUUCUGUCGUUAAUAGAAUUUGCUGGAAAGCAAAACCCUAGAGGGUGAUAGUCCCGUACAUGAAAACGAUCAGAACUCUUUUAUUGCCAUUCUUGAGUACCUCAGGACACGAAUAGCUUGAGGGAAUCUACCGGAACUAACCGGUAAGGCUAAAUACUCCAGAAGACCGAUAGUGAACUAGUACCGUGAGGGAAAGGUGAAAAGCAGUCCGUUGAGGACAGUGAAAUAGACCUGAAACCAUAUGCUUACAAGGAGUCGGAGCGGGUAUUUAUAUCCGUCACGGCGUGCCUAUUGAAGAAUGAGCCAACGAGUUAUUGCAUGCUGCAAGGCUAAGCCCUUGAAUGGGUGGAGCCAAAGGGAAACCGAGUGUUAAUAGCGCGACUAAGUAGUAUGCAUUAGACCCGAAGCCGGGUGAGCUUGCCAUGAGCAGGUUGAAGUUUGUCGAAAGACAGAUGGAGGACCGAACGCUAGAGACGUGCAAUACUCUGCGAUGACUUGUGGUAAGGAGUGAUAAGCUCAUCGAACUCGGUAAUAGCUGGUUCUCUCCGAAAUAGCUUUUGGGCUAGCGUCAUGUGUUCCCUAGAGGGGUAGAGCACUGGAAGAUCUCGACAGGUCGAAAGAUCGCGAGACCUAUCAAACUCCGAAUACUCUAGGUCACAGCAUGGCAGUUAGACCGUGGGGGCUAAGCUCCAUUGGUCAAAAAGGAAACAGCCUGGAUCUCUAUUUAAGGUCCCUAAAUCUAUACUAAGUACACUUGAGGUGGUGGAUUUUCUUUGACGGUGAGGAUGUUGGCUUAGAAGCAGCCAUCAUUUAAAGAAAGCGUAACAGCUCACUCACUUAGAGAGUCUGCGCCGCAGAUGAUCGGGGUUCAAGUAUAGUACCGAAACUGAGGGCUUGUACUUUCUUCGGAUAGUACAAGCGGUAGGAGAGUAUUCUACUCUGCGUUGAAGGAGAAGGGGUGACCCACUCUGGAGCGUGUAGAAGUAAGAAUGUUGGCACAAGUAACCACAAUGCGGGUGAGAGACCCGCACAUCGAAAGACGAAGGAUUCCUUGGCAAUGGAAAUCAGCCAAGGGUUAGUCGGGCCUAAGGAAAUGGCGAAAGCCGAAUCCGAUGGACACACGGUUAAUAUUCCGUGACUAGUGCAGUAUGCGAUGGGAUGACGGAGUGUAGUAUGUACCGCCCACUAUUGGAUGGGGGUGUGUGCCUUGAGGGCGGAGCCGAGGAAAAUCCCGGUUCCUGUGUUUAAUCACGAUCCCAAAUGGAGCAUCGAUGCCGUGGUUCGCCACGGACAAGGGUACAAAGCACGCUUUCAAGAAAAUUCUCUAAGCUUAAUAUUGCAGUAACCGUACCUAAAACCGAAACAGGUAGUCAGCUCGAGUAGAGCAAGAUGAACGAGUGAAGGUCCUCCAAGGAACUCGGCAAAAAAGCAGCCGUAACUUCGGAAUAAGGCUUGCCCUGUCCAGCAAUGGAUUGGGGCCGCAGCUAAAGUAUCUCUGGCAACUGUUUAUCAAAAACACAGCUCCCUGCGAACUCGCAAGAGGAUGUAUAGGGGGUGACACUUGACCAAUGCCAGAAGGUCAACCAUCGCUGGUGCUAUGUCGCAAGAUGUAGUGCUGUGUGGUGUAAGCCCUGGUGAAUGUCGGCCGUAACUAUAACGGUCCUAAGGUAGCGCAAUUCCUUGUCAGGUAAGUUCUGACGCGUUGAAUAGUGUAAUGUCUGGAGAACUGUCUCGGAGGACAGCUCGGUGAAAAUACAAUCCCGGUGAAGAUGCCGGGUACCUGCAGUUAGACGAAAAGACCCUAGAAGCUUUACUGCAGCUUGAUAUUGAGCAUACGAUUGCGAUGCGUAGCAUAGACGUGAGACUUUGAAGGGCGCUUUCGGGCAGCCUGGAGUCGCCAGUGAAAUAGCGUUCUUCGUUGUUGUAUGUUCUAACCCCGAGGGUAAAAAUCUCGGGAGACAGUAUCUGGUGGGCAGUUUUAGUGGGGCGCUAUCCUCCUAAAAAGUAACGGAGGAGUUUAUUAAGGUCAGCUAGCCGUGAAUGGAAACCAUGGCGAUAGUGUAUGGGCACAAGCUGGCUUAACUGUGAGACGUACUUGUCGAGCAGAUGGGAAACCAGAACUAAGUGAACCGACGGUACGCGUUAGAUGCGGCCGGAGAUUAUCGGACAAAAGCUACUCUAGGGAUAACAGGCUCGUUCCGCCUAAGAGUUCAUAUCGACGGCGGAGUUCGGCACCUCGAUGUCGGCUCGUCUUAUCCUGGGGCUGGAGAAGGUCCCAAGGGUUUGGCUGUUCGCCAAUUAAAAAGGCACGUGAGCUGGGUUCAGACCGUAAAGCAGCGAAGCUGCUUAGCAGGUAACCAAAAACAAUUAACUUUUAACCAGAAAAAGAAGUCUUAAUCUGGUGAAUUGUUAAGAGUAAAAAGUUAUCAGUUAAAGCGCUAGCUUUUUUACAGUCUGAAUCCCUCGGACAUCAAGAGGAAAAAAGAGACACAACCAAUCACGGCGGUCGUGAGAAGCAAUUUUCACGUACGUCAUCAACUAAUAUCGGAGAAACCUUUAAGAGGUAACACCGAGGAAAGAGUGAGUAACAGGUAACCAAAAACAAUUAACUUU